UGCCCACCUCCGGCGGGCGGGCCGAGGCCACUGGCGAUUAGUUCUUUCUCGUUUAGGAUGGGUUUUCCAAAGUGAGAGUUUUCCGUGCCUGCUUUUCUCCUGAAAAGUUUUCGUCUAACGAAGGAGGCAUCUCAAGCUUUAGAUGUCCAAAACAGAACACCUUCCCAACAAAUCAGCAUCUUGUCUUCCUCUGCACGAUGAAACCUCCAUCCACCCAUGUGUUCCUGGCAAAAAUCAUGGAGUCCUUGAUACCACUCCAUACAUCCAAUCAAUCAGUUCCCACCUCCAAAAGAUAACCCUCUGAUAAACCACUGAAGGAUUAAGAAACGGAUUUUCAUGUAUCCAGACCACACAGCAUCCAGUAUCCAAACCACUGGUCAUCUAGAGCAUUACCGUCUUGGACUAAUCCAGAGGCUAAGAACACAGGACCGAUUCUUCUCAAGAAUGUACCUUUUACUAUAAGACACUUAGCUUUUCAUUUUUCUUCUGUUUUGGAAGACUGGCUGUUUCCUAGUAGUGUUUCC